rnacentral:rRNA from 1 species
UACGUAGGGUGCAAGCGUUGUCCGGAAUUAUUGGGCGUAAAGAGCUCGUAGGCGGUCUGUCACGUCGGAUGUGAAAAUCCAGGGCUUAACCCUGGACCUGCAUUCGAUACGGGCAGACUAGAGUUCGGUAGGGGAGACGUGGAAUUCCUGGUGUAGCGGUGAAAUGCGCAGAUAUCAGGAGGAACACCGGUGGCGAAGGCGGGUCUCUGGGCCGUAACUGACGCUGAGGAGCGAAAGCGUGGGGAGCGAACAGG